UUAAGUUAUUAAGGGCGCACGGUGGAUGCCUUGGCACUAGAAGCCGAUGAAGGACGUUACUAACGACGAUAUGCUUUGGGGAGCUGUAAGUAAGCUUUGAUCCAGAGAUUUCCGAAUGGGGAAACCCAGCAUGAGUUAUGUCAUGUUAUCGAUAUGUGAAUACAUAGCAUAUCAGAAGGCACACCCGGAGAACUGAAACAUCUUAGUACCCGGAGGAAGAGAAAGAAAAUUCGAUUCCCUUAGUAGCGGCGAGCGAAACGGGAAGAGCCCAAACCAACAAGCUUGCUUGUUGGGGUUGUAGGACACUCUAUACGGAGUUACAAAGGACGACAUUAGACGAAUCAUCUGGAAAGAUGAAUCAAAGAAGGUAAUAAUCCUGUAGUCGAAAAUGUUGUCUCUCUUGAGUGGAUCCUGAGUACGACGGAGCACGUGAAAUUCCGUCGGAAUCUGGGAGGACCAUCUCCUAAGGCUAAAUACUCUCUAGUGACCGAUAGUGAACCAGUACCGUGAGGGAAAGGUGAAAAGCACCCCGGAAGGGGAGUGAAAUAGAACCUGAAACCGUGUGCUUACAAGUAGUCAGAGCCCGUUAAUGGGUGAUGGCGUGCCUUUUGUAGAAUGAACCGGCGAGUUACGAUUUGAUGCAAGGUUAAGCAGUAAAUGUGGAGCCGUAGCGAAAGCGAGUCUGAAUAGGGCGUUUAGUAUUUGGUCGUAGACCCGAAACCAGGUGAUCUACCCUUGGUCAGGUUGAAGUUCAGGUAACACUGAAUGAAGGACCGAACCGACUUACGUUGAAAAGUGAGCGGAUGAACUGAGGGUAGCGGAGAAAUUCCAAUCGAACCUGGAGAUAGCUGGUUCUCUCCGAAAUAGCUUUAGGGCUAGCCUCAAGUGAUGAUUAUUGGAGGUAGAGCACUGUUUGGACGAGGGGCCCCUCUCGGGUUACCGAAUUCAGACAAACUCCGAAUGCCAAUUAAUUUAACUUGGGAGUCAGAACAUGGGUGAUAAGGUCCGUGUUCGAAAGGGAAACAGCCCAGACCACCAGCUAAGGUCCCAAAAUAUAUGUUAAGUGGAAAAGGAUGUGGCGUUGCCCAGACAACUAGGAUGUUGGCUUAGAAGCAGCCAUCAUUUAAAGAGUGCGUAAUAGCUCACUAGUCGAGUGACACUGCGCCGAAAAUGUACCGGGGCUAAACAUAUUACCGAAGCUGUGGAUUGUCCUUUGGACAAUGGUAGGAGAGCGUUCUAAGGGCGUUGAAGCAUGAUCGUAAGGACAUGUGGAGCGCUUAGAAGUGAGAAUGCCGGUGUGAGUAGCGAAAGACGGGUGAGAAUCCCGUCCACCGAUUGACUAAGGUUUCCAGAGGAAGGCUCGUCCGCUCUGGGUUAGUCGGGUCCUAAGCUGAGGCCGACAGGCGUAGGCGAUGGAUAACAGGUUGAUAUUCCUGUACCACCUAUAAUCGUUUUAAUCGAUGGGGGGACGCAGUAGGAUAGGCGAAGCGUGCGAUUGGAUUGCACGUCUAAGCAGUAAGGCUGAGUAUUAGGCAAAUCCGGUACUCGUUAAGGCUGAGCUGUGAUGGGGAGAAGACAUUGAGUCUUCGAGUCGUUGAUUUCACACUGCCGAGAAAAGCCUCUAGAUAGAAAAUAGGUGCCCGUACCGCAAACCGACACAGGUAGUCAAGAUGAGAAUUCUAAGGUGAGCGAGCGAACUCUCGUUAAGGAACUCGGCAAAAUGACCCCGUAACUUCGGGAGAAGGGGUGCUCUUUAGGGUUAACGCCCAGAAGAGCCGCAGUGAAUAGGCCCAAGCGACUGUUUAUCAAAAACACAGGUCUCUGCUAAACCGUAAGGUGAUGUAUAGGGGCUGACGCCUGCCCGGUGCUGGAAGGUUAAGAGGAGUGGUUAGCUUCUGCGAAGCUACGAAUCGAAGCCCCAGUAAACGGCGGCCGUAACUAUAACGGUCCUAAGGUAGCGAAAUUCCUUGUCGGGUAAGUUCCGACCCGCACGAAAGGCGUAACGAUUUGGGCACUGUCUCAACGAGAGACUCGGUGAAAUCAUAGUACCUGUGAAGAUGCAGGUUACCCGCGACAGGACGGAAAGACCCCGUGGAGCUUUACUGUAGCCUGAUAUUGAAAUUCGGCACAGCUUGUACAGGAUAGGUAGGAGCC
rnacentral:rRNA from 1 species